rnacentral:rRNA from 1 species
UACAGAGGUCCCAAGCGUUGUUCGGAUUCAUUGGGCGUAAAGGGUGCGUAGGCGGCGCGGUAAGUCGGGUGUGAAAUCUCGGAGCUUAACUCCGAAACUGCAUUCGAUACUGCCGUGCUUGAGGACUGGAGAGGAGACUGGAAUUCCUGGUGUAGCGGUGAAAUGCGCAGAUAUCAGGAAGAACACCCGUGGCGAAGGCGGUUCUCUGGGACGGUACUGACGCUGAGACGCGAAAGCGUGGGGAGCGAACAGG